rnacentral:rRNA from 1 species
GAUGAACGCUAGCGGCAGGCUUAAUACAUGCAAGUCGUGGGGCAGCAGGAGUGUAGCAAUACACUCGCUGGCGACCGGCAAACGGGUGCGGAACACGUACGCAACCUACCCAAAACUGGGGGAUAGCCCGGGGAAACCCGGAUUAAUACCUCGUAACAUAAUGGAGUGGCAUCACUUUAUUAUUAUAGCUCCGGCGGUUUUGGAUGGGCGUGCGCCUGAUUAGGUAGUUGGCGGGGUAACGGCCCACCAAGCCUACGAUCAGUAACUGGUGUGAGAGCACGACCAGUCACACGGGCACUGAGACACGGGCCCGACUCCUACGGGAGGCAGCAGUAAGGAAUAUUGGUCAAUGGACGCAAGUCUGAACCAGCCAUGCCGCGUGAAGGAUGAAGGUCCUCUGGAUUGU